rnacentral:rRNA from 1 species
CCUANGGGAGGCAGCAGUAAGGAAUAUUGCGCAAUGGGCGAAAGCCUGACGCAGCGACGCCGCGUGGGGGAUGAAGGUCUUCGGAUUGUAAACCCCUUUCGGGAGGGAAGAUGGAAUGGGGUAACCCAUUCGGACGGUACCUCCAGAAGCAGCCACGGCUAACUUCGUGCCAGCAGCCGCGGUAAUACGUAGGGGGCGAGCGUUGUUCGGAUUUACUGGGCGUAAAGAGCGCGUAGGUGGUUCGAUGAGUCGGAGGUGAAAUCCCUCGGCUUAACCGAGGACCCGCGUCCGAUACUGUCGAACUUGAGUGCAGGAGAGGAGAGCGGAAUUCCCAAUGUAGCGGUGAAAUGCGUAGAUAUUGGGAGGAACACCGGUGGCGAAGGCGGCUCUCUGGACUGCCACUGACACUGAGGCGCGAAAGCUAGGGGAGCAAACGGGAUUAGAUACCCGGNUANUC